rnacentral:rRNA from 1 species
AAGUUUGAUGGCGACCGGCGCACGGGUGAGUAACACGUAUCCAACCUGCCGAUAACUCCGGAAUAGCCUUUCGAAAGAAAGAUUAAUACCGGAUGGCAUACGAAUAUCGCAUGAUAUUUUUAUUUAAAGAAUUUCGGUUAUCGAUGGGGAUGCGUUCCAUUAGAUAGUAGGCGGGGUAACGGCCCACCUAGUCUUCGAUGGAUAGGGGUUCUGAGAGGAAGGUCCCCCACAUUGGAACUGAGACACGGUCCAAACUCCUACGGGAGGCAGCAUG